rnacentral:rRNA from 1 species
UACAGAGGUCCCAAGCGUUGUUCGGAUUCACUGGGCGUAAAGGGUGCGUAGGCGGUUGGGUAAGUCUGUCGUGAAAUCUCCGAGCCUAACUCGGAAACUGCGUCGGAUACUAUUCAACUCGAGGAAUGGAGGGGAGACUGGAAUUCUCGGUGUAGCAGUGAAAUGCGUAGAUAUCGAGAGGAACACCAGUGGCGAAGGCGAGUCUCUGGACAUUUCCUGACGCUGAGACGCGAAAGCGUGGGGAGCGAACAGG